GAAUGCCACGGUGAAUACGUUCCCGGGCCUUGUACACACCGCCCGUCACACCAUGGGAGUGGGUUGCAAAAGAAGUAGGUAGCUUAACCUUCGGGAGGGCGCUUACCACUUUGUGAUUCAUGACUGGGGUGAAGUCGUAACAAGGUAACCGUAGGGGAACCUGCGGUUGGAUCACCUCCUUA
rnacentral:rRNA from 1 species